GGCGCAGGCGGCUUGGUCAGUCUGAAGUGGAAGCCCGGGGCUCAACCCCGGAAGUGCUUUGGAUACUGCCAAACUUGAGUACGCGAGAGGAGAGUGGAAUUCCAGGUGAAGCGGUGAAAUGCGUAGAUAUCUGAAGGAACACCGGUGGCGAAAGCGACUCUCUGGCGCGCUACUGACGCUGAAGCCCGAAAGCGUGGGGAGCGAACG
rnacentral:rRNA from 1 species